rnacentral:rRNA from 1 species
CCUACGGGUGGCAGCAGUGAGGAAUAUUGGUCAAUGGACGCAAGUCUGAACCAGCCAUGCCGCGUGCAGGAAGACGGCUCUAUGAGUUGUAAACUCCUUUUGUACGGGGGUAAAAGCAGAUACGCCUAUCUGUCUGACAGUCUCCUAACAACAAGGAUCGGCUAACUCCGUGCCAGCAGCCGCGGUAAUACGGAGGAUUCAAGCGUUAUACGGAUUUAUUGGGUUUAAAGGGUGCGUAGGCGGUCGGAUAAGUUAGAGGUGAAAUCCCGGGGCUCAACUUCUGUAUUGCCUCUGAUACUGUACGGCUAGAGAGCAGUAGCGGUAGGCGGAAUGUAUGGUGUAGCGGUGAAAUGCUUAGAGAUCAGGCAGAACACCGGUGGCGAAGGCGGCUUACCGAGCUACUUCUGACGUUGAGGCACGAAAGCGUGGGGAGCAAACAGGAUUAGAUACCCUGGUAGUC